rnacentral:lncRNA from 1 species
GAUGACUUCAGUUUGCUUUGAAAAAAUACAUGUUUUGAAUUACCUAUUAUCUUGCACAAAGUGAAACUAUUUGCCCAACCCCGUGGUUGCCUUAGAGACUUGCUGCAAACAACAGAUAGAAGCAUGAGCUGAAUAUGAGGAAUGUCCAAAGGACAAGAAUGUGAGUGUUGAAACCAGAAAAAUGAAACAACAUGAUUGCAACAUCUGUCAAAGGGUGUAACCCUGUCUGGCUUGAUGAUUGAGGAAUCACCAGAGUGAAAGUGGAAUUUCAGAAUUUCAUCCUGUGCUCUUUGUGUCAGCACCCAGCAUCUUCCAUGGGCUGCUUUUGUUUCUCUUUGUGGCAAAGGAUCAUGUUGAGCAAGCACCAUCUGAAAAUGAGGAGCCAAAGUUGUUCCUGAGUCUCUUACGACUCAAAGCACACUGCAGAGGUUGUCCUGGAAAUAACUACCAGUUCACCAAUUUGUGUUUAAAGCAGUGGAGACAAUAUAUUCCAUCUAUCCCAAAAUUCAGUGUAUCAGCAGGGAAAGAACUUGCUUCACUGGCAGGAGGACUCCUGGGUGCUGACCCAAUGUCUGCUCCUUUUCUUGGACUGCAGAGUGUGGAAAACAACAAGCUCUGGGGUCCAGUGGAGGAGACUUAAUUGUUGGCUUGAGUGAUUCUCAGCUGGUUCUCUCCUUCCAAGCACGUGAAAUGCACAACCAGG